CCUACGGGUGGCAGCAGUGGGGAAUAUUGGGCAAUGGGCGCAACUCUGACCCAGCAACGCCGCGUGAAUGAUGAAGGUCUUCGGAUUGUAAAGUUCUUUUCUAAGGGAAGAAGAAAGUGACGGUACCUUAGGAAUAAGCCUCGGCUAACUACGUGCCAGCAGCCGCGGUAAUACGUAGGAGGCAAGCGUUAUCCGGAAUGACUGGGCGUAAAGGGUGCGUAGGUGGUUUUGCAAGUUAGUAGAGAAACUCCGGGGCUCAACCUCGGACCUGCAAUUAAAACUGUUGGACUUGAGUGCAGGAGGGGCAAUCGGAAUUCCUAGUGUAGCGGUGAAAUGCGUAGAUAUUAGGAGGAACACCAGUGGCGAAGGCGGAUUGCUAGACUGUAACUGACACUGAGGCACGAAAGCGUGGGGAGCAAACAGGAUUAGAUACCCGAGUAGUC
rnacentral:rRNA from 1 species